GUUGUCUUGGCCGAGUGCUUAAGGCGAUGGACUGGAAAUCUUUUGGGAUCUUCCCGCGCAGGUUCGAAUCCUGUCGUCAUCG
rnacentral:tRNA from 1 species